GAGUUUGAUCAUGGCUCAGAUUGAACGCUGGCGGCAUGCUUUACACAUGCAAGUCGAGCGGCAGCGCGGGGGCAACCCUGGCGGCGAGCGGCGGACGGGUGAGUAAUGCAUCGGAACGUAUCCCGUAGUGGGGGACAACCCAGCGAAAGCUGGGCUAAUACCGCAUAUGCUCUACGGAGGAAAGCAGGGGACUUCGCAAGGGGCCUUGUGCUAUGGGAGCGGCCGAUGUCCGAUUAGCUAGUUGGUGGGGUAAAGGCUUACCAAGGCGACGAUCGGUAGCUGGUCUGAGAGGAUGAUCAGCCACACUGGGACUGAGACACGGCCCAGACUCCUACGGGAGGCAGCAGUGGGGAAUUUUGGACAAUGGGGGCAACCCUGAUCCAGCCAUGCCGCGUGCGGGAAGAAGGCCUUCGGGUUGUAAACCGCUUUUGGUCGGGAAGAAAAGGUUCUCUCUAACAGAGGGGACUGUUGACGGUACCGGCAGAAUAAGCACCGGCUAACUACGUGCCAGCAGCCGCGGUAAUACGUAGGGUGCGAGCGUUAAUCGGAAUUACUGGGCGUAAAGCGUGCGCAGGCGGUAAGUUAAGUCUGAUGUGAAAGCCCCGGGCUCAACCUGGGAAUGGCAUUGGAAACUGGCUUGCUGGAGUGUGGCAGAGGGGGGUGGAAUUCCGCGUGUAGCAGUGAAAUGCGUUCACAC
rnacentral:rRNA from 1 species